rnacentral:rRNA from 1 species
CAGGACGAACGCUGGCGGCGUGCCUAAUACAUGCAAGUCGAACGGUCUUUCUAUGGAAGCUUGCUUCCACUGAGAAGAUAGUGGCGAACGGGUGAGUAACACGUGGGUAACCUGCCCAUAAGAGGGGGGAUAACAUCCGGAAACGGGUGCUAAUACCGCAUAGUUUUCUUGAUCGCAUGAUCGGGAAAGGAAAGACGGCCUUUGUGCUGUCGCUUAUGGAUGGACCCGCGGCGUAUUAGUUAGUUGGUGAGGUAACGGCUCACCAAGACGAUGAUACGUAGCCGACCUGAGAGGGUGAUCGGCCACAUUGGGACUGAGACACGGCCCAAACUCCUACGGGAGGCAGCAGUAGGGAAUCUUCCGCAAUGGACGAAAGUCUGACGGAGCAACGCCGCGUGAGUGAAGAAAGGUUUUCGGAUCGUAAAACUCUGUUGUCAGAGAAGAACAAGUUGGAGAGUAACUGCUCCAGCCUUGACGGUAUCUGACCAGAAAGCCACGGCUAACUACGUGCCAGCAGCGGC